UACAGAGGGGGCAAGCGUUGUUCGGAAUUACUGGGCGUAAAGGGCGCGUAGGCGGCCCGCUAAGUCGAACGUGAAAUCCCCGAGCUCAACUCGGGAACUGCGUCCGAUACUGGCGGGCUUGAAUCCGGGAGAGGGAUGCGGAAUUCCAGGUGUAGCGGUGAAAUGCGUAGAUAUCGAGAGGAACACCUGCGGCGAAGGCGGGUUGCUGGGCCGACACUGACGCUGACAGCGCGAAAGCUAGGGGAGCGAACGGG
rnacentral:rRNA from 1 species